CAGUAGCCACGGUAAUGCGUAGGUGGCAAGCGUUGUCCGGAAUUAUUGGGCGUAAAGGGCUCGCAGGCUGUUUCUUAAGUCUGAUGUGAAAGCCCCCGGCUCAACCGGGGAGGGUCAUUGGAAACUGGGAAACUUGAGUGCAGAAGAGGAGAGUGGAAUUCCACGUGUAGCGGUGAAAUGCGUAGAGAUAUGGAGGAACACCAGUGGCGAAGGCGACUUUCUGGUCUGUAACUGACGCUGAUGUGCGAAAGCGUGGGGAUCAAACAGGAUUAGAUACCCCGGUAGUCCCUGUCUCUUAUAC
rnacentral:rRNA from 1 species